CCUACGGGAGGCAGCAGUGAGGAAUAUUGGUCAAUGGACGAGAGUCUGAACCAGCCAAGUAGCGUGAAGGAUGACUGCCCUAUGGGUUGUAAACUUCUUUUAUAAAGGAAUAAAACGAGGCACGUGUGCCUUUUUGCAUGUACUUUAUGAAUAAGGAUCGGCUAACUCCGUGCCAGCAGCCGCGGUAAUACGGAGGAUCCGAGCGUUAUCCGGAUUUAUUGGGUUUAACGGGAGCGUAGAUGGGUUGUUAAGUCAGUUGUGAAAGUUUGCGGCGCAACCGUAAAAUUGCAAUUGAUACUGGCAGUCGUGAGUACAGUUGAGGUAGGCGGAAUUCGUGGUGUAGCGGUGAAAUGCUUAGAUAUCACGAAGAACCCCGAUUGCGAAGGCAGCUUACUAAACUGUGACUGACAUUGAUGCUCGAAAGUGUGGGUAUCAAACAGGAUUAGAUACCCCAGUAGUC
rnacentral:rRNA from 1 species